AACGCUAGCUACAGGCUUAACACAUGCAAGUAGAGGGGCAGCAUGGGGCAGCAAUGCCCCGAUGGCGACCUGCGGAUGGGUGAGUAACACGUAUCCAACCUGCCCGGCACUGGAGGAUAGCCUCCCGAAAGGGAAAUUAACACUCCAUGCCGUACCGUCGGGACAUCCCUUCGGUAUGAAAGUUUUACGGUGUCGGAUGGGGAUGCGGUCCAUUAGAUAGUAGGCGGGGCAACGGCCCACCUAGUCUUCGAUGGAUAGGGGUUCUGAGAGGAAGGUCCCCCACAUUGGAACUGAGACACGGUCCAAACUCCUACGGGAGGCAGCAGUGAGGAAUAUUGGUCAAUGGGCGCGAGCCUGAACCAGCCAAGUAGCGUGCAGGAUGACGGCCCUAUGGGUUGUAAACUGCUUUUUCGCGGGGGUAAAGUUCGCCACGUGUGGCGUUUUGCAAGUACCGCGUGAAUAAGGACCGGCUAAUUCCGUGCCAGCAGCCGCGGUAAUACGGAAGGUCCGAGCGUUAUCCGGAAUCAUUGGGUUUAAAGGGAGCGUAGGCGGGACGUCAAGUCAGCUGUGAAAACCCCGGGCUCAACCCGUGGCGUGCAGUUGAAACUGUCGUUCUUGAGUGCACAUAAGGAAGGUGGAAUUCGUGGUGUAGCGGUGAAAUGCUUAGAUAUCACGAAGAACUCCGAUUG
rnacentral:rRNA from 1 species